rnacentral:rRNA from 1 species
CCUACGGGAGGCAGCAGUGAGGAAUAUUGGUCAAUGGGAGAGAUCCUGAACCAGCCAAGCCGCGUGAGGGAAGACGGCCCUAUGGGUUGUAAACCUCUUUUGUCGGAGAACAAAACCCGGGACGUGUCCCGCACUGCGAGUAUCCGAAGAAAAAGCAUCGGCUAACUCCGUGCCAGCAGCCGCGGUAAUACGGAGGAUGCGAGCGUUAUCCGGAUUUAUUGGGUUUAAAGGGUGCGUAGGCGGUCCGUUAAGUCAGCGGUAAAAUUGCGGGGCUCAACCCCGUCGUGCCGUUGAAACUGGCGGACUUGAGUGAGCGAGAAGUAUGCGGAAUGCGUGGUGUAGCGGUGAAAUGCAUAGAUAUCACGCAGAACUCCGAUUGCGAAGGCAGCGUACCGGCGCCAGACUGACGCUGAGGCACGAAAGCGUGGGGAUCGAACAGGAUUAGAUACCCUAGUAGUC